rnacentral:lncRNA from 1 species
AAGACUACACUUUCCAGCCUCCCAUGCAGCUGGAUGGAGCCAUACAACCAAGUUUCGGCCAAAGGAAAGAACGUGGCUCAGAUGGAUGUGCCAGAGGAAAUGCACCAGGAAAUCCCGAGCAGGGUGCAAUCAGUCACCAUUAAUGCUCACAAGUAUCAAAGCUACUUGAAGAAAUACAGCUACUUAUGGAUGGAUGAUAAAAUUGAAUUCACGAAGCAGUUCCUUCUCCAUGAGUGAUUUCUUAGUGCUGAAAAACUAGAAUUGCAUGUGGACUAUGAGUGUCAGAACUCCACACUGCAGUUAGCACACUUUACAGAACACGUAUUGAAUUUUAGCUGAGUCUAGCAUCAUCUUUUUCAACUCCCAGGACAGCUGUUAAAUCAUAAAAUAUUUUGAGAUAUAAAGCUCUUGCCUCUGAGAGAUCUUUCCUUUUUUUCCCCUUUUCCUUUAAGAUCAACAUCUAUGAAAUAUUAUGUGAAGGAAUUGAUAACUUUAAAAAUCAGAAGAUAUUUAGUGGCUAGCUUCAACUUGAUACUUUUAAAAAUCCAUGAUGAAUGUUACAAAAAAUGAGAUUUGAUGUUUAAGGAGCAUCUGCUUAACCAUUGUAACCUGUAGGUAGAGUAAUUUGAAUCUGAUUGUGAAAGGAAAUUAAAAUAACACAAAUCAUUUGAUGAAACUAUCCUCAUAGAAUUCUAAUUUAACUCAAAUAAUAAGUAUUUUAAUGGUUCUCCUAUGUGCUUAUUUUUAAUGUCGUAUUCUGUAAGUUACAAGAGAGUUGCUUUCAUGCAUGUGAAAUGCAAUUCUCUUCUUGCAAAAACUUGACACAAUGCUUAUCCAUUUGAUUUGAUUGCAUUUACGUGUUCAUUAAUAUAAUUGAAACAUGUAGCUUCCCCCAAGUUUUCACAGGCUCAUCCCUAAUUAACUGUUGGCAUUUUCUCAUAUUAUAUGUUAGUAUAACUGAGUUAGGGCAAUUUAUUGAUGAAAUAGGGAAAGAUUGAGCAGAGGACGUGAAGUGGGAAUUCAGCCCAUUGAGUACUGAUUGGGGGACUGUGGGCAGCUGGACCAUGCCAGGCAAUAGCCCUAAAAUCUCUGCUAUUUUAACUGCUUUACUAAAGCAUCCAGAAGAGAUUUAUAUGGGCAUAAGUGAUAGGGACUCAAGAGAGAGAGGUUAUCUCCAGGAGAUAGUAUUACUUUCCCCCAACUGGGCCCUGAACCACAAGUCAAAGGAGACUCAUGGUCUUCUAAGUAUGUUCUGUGUAUUUACAGGGUAUUUAAAAAAGUUUUAAAGAUUUAAUAGAACAGUCUGUGAACUUGGAAGGAGAAAAGAGAGCUUCUAAUCCUUGCUCAGCACUUUUGAGCACUGUGAUCUUGCUUGAGUGAGUUAGCCUGAGCGCAUUUCUUCACAGUGCCCUUGUGGGGUCUAAAUGCAAUACUUAUACAGGCUGCCUUGAUGUAGCCAACCAGUAUAUGUUUAUUGAAAUAUGAGGCUUUUAACCUUUUUUCUUUUCUUUUCUUUUUUUUUGUUUUUGAGAAGGAGUCUCGCUCUGUCGCCCAGGCUGGAGUGCAGAGGCGUGAUCUCGGCUCACUGCAAGCUCUGCCUCCUGUGUUCACGCCAUUCUCCUGCCUCAGCCUCCCGAGUAGCUGGGACUACAGGCGCCUGCCACCACGCCCGGCUAAUUUUUUGUAUUUUUAGUAGAGAUGGGGUUUCACUGUGUUAGCCAGGAUGGUCUUGAUCUCCUGACCUCAUGAUCCACCUGCCUCAGCCUCCCAAAGUGCUGGGAUUACAGGCAUGAGCCACCACGCCCGGCCCUUAACCUUUUUUUAAAUCAAGGAUAGGAAAUGAAAUCCACAAAGGAGGUGGUCAAUAAAAUAAGCAAAGGAGAUUUAAAUGGAGAUAACUUUUCAAAUUAAGAGUUUAAAGUCUUAUUUUUUUGUCCUUUACAGAUUAAUGUGAGGAUAUCUGACUAAAAGAAUUAAGAAACCCCUACCUUUAUUAUUUAUUUAUUUUUUGAGAUGGAGACUUGCUCUGACACCCAAGCUGGAGUGCAGUGGUGUGAUCUCGGCUUACUGCAGUCUACACUUCCCGAGUUCAAGCGAUUCUCCUGCCUCAGCCUCUUGAGUAGCUGGGAUUACAGGUGCCCGCCACCACGCCUGGCCAAUUUUUUUGUUGUUGUAUUUUUAGUAGAGACGGGGUUUCACCAUGUUGGCCAGGGUGGUCUCGAACUCCUGACCGCAAGUGAUCUGCCCACCUUGGCCUCCCAAAGUGCUGAGAUUACAGGUGUGAACCACUGUGCCCGGCCCCUACCCUUAUUUUUGCUUUUGUAUUAUUCUCAUUUCCUUGUAUGAUAGAAUUGUUAUGUUAACUGGCUAUAUUAAUAAAAUCAAUGA